AAGGCCCUUGGGUUGUAAACCUCUUUUCUGGGGGACGAAAGCUGACGGUACCCCAGGAAUAAGCCUCGGCUAACUCCGUGCCAGCAGCCGCGGUAAGACGGAGGAGGCAAGCGUUAUCCGGAAUUAUUGGGCGUAAAGGGUACGUAGGCGGCUGGUCAAGUCUGGGGUCAAAGGCCACAGCUCAACUGUGGGAAGGCCCUGGAAACUGACCGGCUAGAGUGAGGUAGGGGUUGCGGGAAUUCCCGGUGUAGCGGUGAAAUGCGUAGAGAUCGGGAAGAACACCUGAGGCGGAAGCGCGCAACUGGGCCUCAACUGACGCUGAGGUACGAAAGCUAGGGGAGCGAAUGGGAUUAGAUACC
rnacentral:rRNA from 1 species